rnacentral:rRNA from 1 species
GACGAACGCUGGCGGCGUGCCUAAUACAUGCAAGUAGAACGCACAGUUUAUACCGUAGCUUGCUACACCAUAAACUGUGAGUUGCGAACGGGUGAGUAACGCGUAGGUAACCUGCCUGGUAGCGGGGGAUAACUAUUGGAAACGAUAGCUAAUACCGCAUAAUAUUGAUUAUUGCAUGAUAAUUGAUUGAAAGAUGCUAUUGCAUCACUACCAGAUGGACCUGCGUUGUAUUAGCUAGUAGGUGAGGUAACGGCUCACCUAGGCGACGAUACAUAGCCGACCUGAGAGGGUGAUCCGCCACCCCUGGACUGGGACACGGCCCCGACUCCUACGGGAGGCAGCAGUAGGGAAUCUUCGGCAAUGGACGAAAGUCUGACCGAGCAACGCCGCGUGAGUGAAGGAGGUUUUCGGAUCGUAAAGCUCUGUUGUAAGAGAAGAACGGGUGUGAGAGUGGAAAGUUCACACUGUGACGGUAUCUUACCAGAAAGGGACGGCUAACUACGUG